CUACAACCAAAAACGUUGCGGUAGUGGAUAAAUCUACUAGAGACACAGCUGUACCUGUUUCUCAAUCUGGAAAAGAUCCAGAUGCCCGAGUAUUCACCAUUGCCGUAGUUGAUUGUUGGAUCUUCCUAUUCGUUGAUUGGUGGGAUCGGGAUAGAUUUUCUGGGCUGGAGCGCUUAUUGUGGAUGGCCGAUUUAGGUGAACUAUCUGACGAAUCUUCAAUCGAACAAAGAGUGGUUUGAGUUUCUAAUUGUUUUGCCGCUUCAGAAUUUACAGAGCCAAAUCAACAAAAAAUCCUCCAACAAAAAAUCGUCGCGGCUCAAAAUCGACGUC